rnacentral:rRNA from 1 species
AUACAGAGGGUGCGAGCGUUAAUCGGAAUUACUGGGCGUAAAGCGCGCGUAGGCGGCUUAUUAAGUCAGAUGUGAAAUCCCCGGGCUCAACCUGGGAACUGCAUCUGAUACUGGUAAGCUAGAGUUUUGGAGAGGGAAGUAGAAUUUCAGGUGUAGCGGUGAAAUGCAUAGAGAUCUGAAGGAAUACCAGUGGCGAAGGCGGCUUCCUGGCCAAAAACUGACGCUGAGGUGCGAAAGCGUGGGUAGCAAACGGGAUUAGAAACCCUAGUAGUCC